AGCACGUGUUCAGUUUUUGUCUGUUGCUGUAGACAAAAACGUGGAACCUAGUGCUUAGAAAAAAACCCUUCUUUUGCAACCCACAGCUGAUCAACAUAUUAGUUGUGUUACUUACAUGAAGGGACAGU
rnacentral:snoRNA from 1 species